AGCGUUGGGCCGCCUGUGGGUCCUGAUGGAGGGGAUGGGAGAUUAAGGGGCAGAACCCCAUGGAGGAACCAUGCAGCUCAGCCCCCACUGCAUUCACAUGGCACAGAGGGUGAAAAAAGAGCGAGCAGUCGAACCCCUGACAGUGUAACUGAGUGCCACAGCAGAGAAGAGUGAGGAAAUGUGAAGUGAAUGAGCACAGAGUAUGGGGCUGGACUUCACACUCACACUGGCUCUUGGUGGCCGACGCUGCUUGUUUGGGUGCUCUGAGUUGUUACCAGAGGAGCAUUUCUUCUUGCUGUUCUGAGCAGAAGCCUUGGCUGCAGCCUGAUCAAAUAAAACAUAGGUUUUAAGUCUUGUCCUCAGGCUUCCUUUGGUGCUGUUGCAUGUAGCUGAAGCGCCAUCCAUGUCUCUCACCUCCUGAACCUGUUUUUUCUUACAGCUGAAGCGACUCACCUUUGAAGCGACUGGCUGUUUCUUUCUUUGCAUCGUCUGCUUUUGCAUAUCUUUUUUUGGCUUCACCAGUGUGUUUGCAUCUUGUUUAGAAAUCAGUGGGAAGACGGGUACCUCAGCAUAGGGGCUGUUUGGAUCAGGCAUGUGAUCUGGCAAUGGGAAAUAAGAACAAGGGUCACUGACAGUGUAUCCACAGCCAGCUGCCCCUUGGUUUUGCUCUUCUGACCAGGGAAGGGCAAGGUAAGUCCCAGAUUCCUCACACUGCUGAAAUGUAGAGCUAAUCAAGCACCGGAGAUACCUCUGGGGGGCAGUUCCUUUCUCCCUAGGAGCAUCUGGAGCAGAACUCCAAGUGUUUGAUUUUGUAUCUUUCCCUGUGAGUGAUACUGGAUGGAUGAACACCUAAGGUUUGCUCCAGCUCAGUUUUCUGUGAUCCUCUUAGGAAUUACUGCCUACACUGUAGGAAACACAGAGCUUUGGGGCCAACCCUGUUAAUAAAUUUAUUGACAAUCCAGAUGAAGGGAUUGAGUGUACCCUCAAGUUAACAUUGGAUAACAUCAAGCUGGGAGGAAGCAUUGAUCUGCUUGAGGUUAGGAAGGCCCUACAGAGGGAUGUGGGCAAGCUGGAUCUCUGGGCUGAGGUCAGUGGGAUGAGUUUCAAAGAGAUCAAGGUCUGGAUCCUGCAUUUUGGUCAUGACAACCCCAUGCAUUGCUACAGGCUUGGGGCACAGUGGCUGUAAAGCUGCAUUGAGGGAAGAUUUCGAGGCAUUAGUUCACAGCUGACUGCACAUGAG